GUGCAGCAGGCGCGAAAACUCCGCAAUGCGCGAAAGCGUGACGGGGUCACCCCGAGUGCCGUCCGCUGAGGAUGGCUUUUGCCUGGUCUAACCAGCCGGGUGAAUAAGGGGAGGGCAAGUCUGGUGUCGGCCGCCGCGGUAAUACCAGCCCCCUGAGUGGUAGGGACGAUUAUUUGGCCUAAAGCGUCCGUAGCCGGCUGAGGAAGUUCUCCGUUAAAUCCAACGAUUCAAUCGUUGGGCUGCGGGGAAUACUCCUCAGCUUGGGGGCGGGGGAUGUCGACGGUAUUUCCGGGGUAGGGGCGAAAUCCUAUAAUCCCGGAAGGACCACCAGUGGCGAAGGCGGCCGACAAAAACGCGCCCGACGGUGAGGGACGAAAGCUGGGGGAGCGAACCGGAUUAGAUACCCGGGUAGUCC
rnacentral:rRNA from 1 species